GACCUAAAUUAUUCUAUCAGUAUUUGUGAAUCAUUAUAAGUUUAUUAUUUUUAGUUUACCACAGUUAAAACAGAAUCUUCAUCAAGUUCGAACUCCGAGUCAAGUGAAGAUAUUAUUUCUAUGCUGGACAAUCUUUCAAUCGAUUUUGACUCAGAUGAACAAAGACAAGAAAUGAAGAAAUACUACAAAUGGUUACACAAACACGAGGAGAAAAGUGCCGUAGAACUUGCUAAAGAAGAACUAAGCAAUGAAGAAAAGAAUCAAGUCGAGUAUUUUAAGAAUAUUCUUGAUUUUGUGAAGAAGCAAGGAGGAAAGGCAGUAUGAAAUAUCCGUUAUGUUAGUUACUUUUGUUAUAUAGAAAACAUGGCAAAAAAUUUUUCAAAUCAGCAUUUUAGUUCGAACGAAAAUUGGACUAGUAAUAAAAUGUAAUAAUUUUGCAA